AAAGAUCAACCACUUACCCGAAAAACGCCGGCAAAGUCUGGUUGAGCUGCCUUGGAGAAUUUCACAAAACGCCUCUGAUGAAGCCCUUCUCGUUUCCCAUUCUGUGUAAUUUUUUCACCGUCGUGAUCAUCGUGUCCUUCUCUAUAGGUUGACAAGAGCAAAAUACCCAACCGCAACAUGAGCUGGAGGAGCCACCGCAUCGGAGAGCCUUGCCGCUGGUGAGUUUCGAUUUUUUGUAUUUUUUCGGCCAACCGAUGGCCUUUAGCAUGUU
rnacentral:lncRNA from 1 species